UUACUAUCUGCGAUAUGGAAGAUUCGAACCUGCCGCAGGUUCGGGUCGAACGCAGUGAGACAACGGAGCCGUUUACGGCGACGGCCCGAAGGGCGAGCAAAGCGAGUCAUCCUGCACGACCCACCA
rnacentral:sRNA from 3 species